rnacentral:rRNA from 1 species
UACGAAGGGUGCAAACGUUGCUCGGAAUCAUUGGGCGUAAAGCGCACGUAGGCGGCCAACUAAGUCAUACGUGAAAUCCCUCAGCUUAACUGGGGAACUGCGUGUGAUACUGGAUGGCUUGGAUUUGGGAGAGGGAUGCGGAAUUCCAGGUGUAGCGGUGAAAUGCGUAGAUAUCUGGAGGAACACCGGUGGCGAAGGCGGCAUCCUGGACCGGCAUUGACGCUGAGGAGCGAAAGCCAGGGGAGCAAACGGG